GCAGUAGCCGCGGUAAUACGAAGGGGGCUAGCGUUGCUCGGAAUUACUGGGCGUAAAGGGAGCGUAGGCGGAUCGUUUAGUCAGGGGUGAAAUCCCGGGGCUCAACCUCGGAACUGCCUUUGAUACUGGCGAUCUUGAGUAUGGGAGAGGUGUGUGGAACUCCGAGUGUAGAGGUGAAAUUCGUAGAUAUUCGGAAGAACACCAGUGGCGAAGGCGACACACUGGCCCAUUACUGACGCUGAGGCUCGAAAGCGUGGGGAGCAAACAGGAUUAGAUACCCCGGUAGUCCCUGUCUCUUAUAC
rnacentral:rRNA from 1 species